rnacentral:lncRNA from 1 species
UUUGUGACACUGUUUUCACAUUUGAUGAUUCCAAUAGAAGUAAAAGUAAAACCUAAACCACGUGACAUUGUUGACCUCUGUUCUGUCUAAUCUUAAUUUUACAGACUGGGAUUUGUCUCCAUCAGGUAUUUUAAUGCCGUUUUUUCACAUCAGCUUCUUCACAUAUGCCCAGAUGUUCAUCAUGCGCGUGCAUGUAAGAACCACCUAAACUAAGCUGCAUAGCAACUGCAGCCUUCGCUCUGCUUCUGCUCUCUGCUCCUCCUGGACUGACUCUGAGCCAAUCGCGUCAGCCGCUCCGCGUGACGUCUGAUUUGUUGACACAUCCAUUAGCUCGCUACCUGGCUGACGUCACUGCAGCAGACAGGACUCCAGCAGCUGCUGAUGAUACAGAGUACAGAGUUGCAAAGAAGCACGAACCCUACGCACCAAGUGAUCCCUCCUCUCGGAGAGAAGCGAUCUCUGAAGGAAGCUGCUCCGACGACGCUUUAGCGCGGACGGACUCUGCCUGGAGACACUGACAGCUAAUCGGAACCGGCGGCCGACGGAGACGUAUGGGUACGGGUCGAUUAGCUGGGAUGACACGAACUGUUCGUUUCUCUGCCCCUCCUCCAUGUCGCAUGAAUUGAACCUGGGAGGUUCCGUUAGGUCGUUGUUUACUGUCCUGACUUAUUUCUAUUGCUUUUUGUGAAGGAAGUGGCUUUAGUGCGGUUUGACAGUCGUCUGGGAGACGUUGUCUUAAUCCUUAGUGACUCAUUUCAUUCAUUCAGCGAAGGUAAAGUCCGUUGUGUUAUUGGCUUGAGAUGUAAAUAACGACCCCUAGCUGUUCUCUCUAGAAGGAAUCAAACUACCAACCUGUGUGGUGAAGGAGCUAUAUUUAGCCCGGCUCCUGUGAUGAGCUGAUGGAGACGCUUCUCGCUUCCUGAACGGAGCGUUUCUUCCCACAGGCGUUAAUGCAGCCUGCACCUAGUGAGCACAGAGUGAUAAUGAAGCCUGGGCCCACGGGCCCAUGUUCUGACCCGCCCAUCCUGUGGGUAGUUGUGGCCCCAGCGGGUCAGUCUCUGCCCUCCUCACUACCGAUUAGCUCCAUCAACUGUGUUCACUGAGCAGAAC